rnacentral:misc_RNA from 1 species
AAUUUCUUGGGCGUGCCCAUGUCGGGGGUCGUGUGUCAUAACGUUUAAUCGUAUAGACGUGCGCCCUGGCUGCAUCCUUGUCUAUUGCGUACUAUUUGUUUCCUCGGCGGGCUUGCUCGCCGAUUGGACAACUAUUAUACUCUUUUGUAAUUGUAAUCAGCGUCUGAGUAAACUAUAAUAGUUA